CCUACGGGGGGCAGCAGUGGGGAAUAUUGCACAAUGGGGGGAACCCUGAUGCAGCGACGCCGCGUGAGUGAAGAAGUAUUUCGGUACGUAAAGCUCUAUCAGCAGGGAAGAAAAAAGGACGGUACCUGAGUAAGAAGCCCCGGCUAACUACGUGCCAGCAGCCGCGGUAAUACGUAGGGGGCAAGCGUUAUCCGGAAUUACUGGGUGUAAAGGGAGCGUAGACGGCAAUGCAAGUCCGGAGUGGAAUGCGGCAGCUCAACUGCCGAACUGCUCUGGAAACUGUAUGGCUUGAGUGCAGGAGGGGG
rnacentral:rRNA from 1 species